UUCGGUCCGACACACAAAAGUGUUGGCCGGGGGCACAAACUGUGGUUGGAGGGAAAAAAAGUACUCGUGGGAACGGACAAAUUGCUACGGAAAAACAAAAGGAAACUUGUGCUAAUACCGGACGUGCCCGAAAGGGGAAAGAUUUAUCGGCAAAUGAUCGGCCCGCGUUGGAUUAGCUAGUUGGUGGGGUAAAGGCCUACCAAGGCGACAAUCCAUAGCUGGUCUGAGAGGAUGAUCAGCCACACUGGGACUGAGACACGGCCCAGACUCCUACGGGAGGCAGCAGUGGGGAAUAUUGGACAAUGGGCGCAAGCCUGAUCCAGCCAUGCCGCGUGAGUGAUGAAGGCCCUAGGGUUGUAAAGCUCUUUCACCGGUGAAGAUAAUGACGGUAACCGGAGAAGAAGCCCCGGCUAACUUCGUGCCAGCAGCCGCGGUAAUACGAAGGGGGCUAGCGUUGUUCGGAUUUACUGGGCGUAAAGCGCACGUAGGCGGGCUAAUAAGUCAGGGGUGAAAUCCCGGGGCUCAACCCCGGAACUGCCUUUGAUACUGUUAGUCUUGAGUAUGGUAGAGGUGAGUGGAAUUCCGAGUGUAGAGGUGAAAUUCGUAGAUUUUCGGAGGAACUCCCGUGGCGAAGGCGGCUCACUGGAGCAUUACUGACGCUGAGGUGCCAAAGCGUGCGGAGCACACAGGAUUUAAUACCCUGGUACUCCACGCCGUACACGAUGAAUGUUAGCCGUUGGGGAGUUUACUCUUCGGUGGCGCAGCUAACGCCCUAACAUUCCGCCUGCGGAGUACGGCCUGUUUUAUUAAAACUAAAUUGAUUUGACGUCGGUCUCGCUCCCCCGGUGGAGCGUGUGGUUUAGUUCAUGCCACGCGGCGCAACCUUACCAGUGGUUGACAUCUCGAAUUACCGUUAGCGGGAGACACUAUCCGUCAAGGUUCGCUCUGGAAUCCCACGACAGUGGC
rnacentral:rRNA from 2 species